rnacentral:rRNA from 1 species
AGAGUUUGAUCAUGGCUCAGAGUGAACGCUGGCGGCAGGCCUACCACAUGCAAGUCGAGCGGCAGCGCGGGGCAACCUGGCGGCGAGCGGCGGACGGGUGAGGAAUGCAUCGGAAUCUACCCUGUCGUGGGGGAUAACGUAGGGAAACUUACGCUAAUACCGCAUACGACCGAGAGGUGAAAGUGGGGGACCGCAAGGCCUCACGCGAUUGGAUGAGCCGAUGCCGGAUUAGCUAGUUGGUGGGGUAAAGGCCUACCAAGGCGACGAUCCGUAGCUGGUCUGAGAGGAUGAUCAGCCACACUGGGACUGAGACACGGCCCAGACUCCUACGGGAGGCAGCAGUGGGGAAUAUUGGACAAUGGGCGCAAGCCUGAUCCAGCCAUGCCGCGUGUGUGAAGAAGGCCUUCGGGCUGUAAAGCACUUUUGUUCGGGAAGAAAUCGUGCGGAUUAAUACUUCGUACGGAUGACGGUACCGAAAGAAUAAGCACCGGCUAACUUCGUGCCAGCAGCCGCGGUAAUAC